rnacentral:rRNA from 1 species
GAUGAACGCUGGCGGCGUGCUUAGCACAUGCAAGUCGAACGAUGAAGCCCAGCUUGCUGGGCGGAUUAGUGGCGAACGGGUGAGUAACACGUGAGUAACCUGCCCUUGACUCUGGGAUAAGCCCGGGAAACUGGGUCUAAUACCGGAUAGGAGCGCCUGUCGCAUGACGGGUGCUGGAAAGAUCUUUCGGUCAUGGAUGGACUCGUGGCCUAUCAGCUUGUUGGUGAGGUAACGGCUCACCAAGGCGACGACGGGUAGCCGGCCUGAGAGGGUGACCGGCCACACUGGGACUGAGACACGGCCCAGACCCCUACGGGAGGCAGCAGUGGGGAAUAUUGCACAAUGGGCGAAAGCCUGAUGCAGCGACGCCGCGUGAGGGAUGACGGCCUUCGGGUUGUAAACCUCUUUCAGCAGGGAAGAAGCGAAAGUGACGGUACCUGCAGAAGAAGCACCGGCUAACUACGUG